GUAAAUUUUAAGAGUAGUUUUCAGAAGAGAAAACGAGGGUGGGGGAAUGGCCAAGGCUGCUUCAUAUUUUCAUGUUGAAGCAAAGGAUUAAAGACCUUUGAAAAACAGAAAGGGAGACUUAACAUGCAAGUAUCUUCAUAUAUCUUUGAAGGAAUUUGUUACUGUGAGGCCUUUCAGGAUACACCUUUAUAGAACUUUCAGUGCCUUCUUUUUGUUUUAGCCUGGGUGUGAGGUAAAAGAACAUCAUAGCAACCUUGGAAUAAUUGAUUGGUUUAGGGGAGGCAAGGCAGAUUGAGUGGUAAACACUGCUGUGUCCUCCAAGCCCUUGCCAACAUGCCCUGCUGCCCAUCAUCUGGCCCUCUGAGGCAGCUGCCUCACUCUGCCUAACGUUAUCUUUGGCAAAACAGACUUUGCAGAUGGUCAUUAUAGCCUUGGAGUAUGAACACUAGGCACUGUCACAAAUGGAGAUAACAUGAAACUGCUAUCCUGAGCACAGUACCCUGAACAAUCCAUGUUUUUGAAGAGCAACCAACCAUCAAUAUUAAUCAAGUAUACACUGAGUCCACACAACCAAGUUGAGUCCUGUGAUUUGCCAAGCUGCCCACUGAAGGAGAGAGAACUAACUGUACUCCCUUAGGGUUGCCAUCUGUGAGAUCAACUUUCUACAUGCUGCUUUACCUGUUGAAAUUCACAGACCCAAUUUCACCUCUUUAAUAUGCCUUUACUUGUUAAACUUGAAGUUGGAAAACCAGACCUUUAGAGGCCAGAGAGCACACGGCCUUUUAUUUAUUUUGCUUAUUUAUUUUAUAUUAUUUUGGUUUUUUGUGUGUUUUCUUCUCUUGGUGUAUUGUUUUCUUUCUGCGUAUCAUUUUGUUGUCAGUGUGUGAAAAAUAUGAAAAACCUUUAAAAUAAAGAGUGUAUAUAUAACACGACACCUUCAUAUUCAAAUACUUGAAAUGUAAUGUGAUGUUUUUACCUUAAAGUUGAGUUGGCUUGUCCUCAGCUUCCUGCUUUUUAAAUUUAUAUUUGAGCUGGCCUCUUGCUGUCUUUAGCAGACCUGGGUUCUUUUUUAAGAAGUCUAGAAACUCUGCACAGCUCAUGUUAAUGGUCAGUUUUAUCCACAGCUUUGCCUUCACAACAGCUAUCACUCAGCCUGUUUCUGUCCUUGGCCAAAGAUGUUAUACUAAACUGAAAACUGUCUCACAGUGGGUAUUAGACAUAGGAAUGGAAAGUGAGAGAGAGACCAGUUUCUUCAAUUGGCUACCACUACCCUCUGACAUUUGUCUGAAAACCUAUACCGAUCUAUGUUCUGCUCCUUGGAGGCAACUCUUCCCUGAUUUGUUGUGAAAAACAUUAGUCAUCAUACAGCUUGUCAAUCUCAAUCUCAGUGUGGAGUGCUAUAGCAAGAGUCUGUAAAUCUGCCCAUUUCUCAUUAAUGUGAAGUGAGAGCACUGACAUUUUUAAAAAAAAGUUAUGUUUCAACAUUGUGCCACUUAUCCUGGUUUUAAAUUCAAUGUCUUAUAGACUUUCCCUCUGAAUUUUCUGGUGUCAGCUGGAGACAUAUUGUCCAGAACACCAGUGGGGGCUGGUGCCCUCUAAAACUGGUGGGGUUGCUAUGAGG